UACGAAGGGGGCUAGCGUUGUUCGGAAUUACUGGGCGUAAAGCGCGCGCAGGCGGUCUUCCAAGUCAGUGGUGAAAGCCCGGAGCUCAACUCCGGAACUGCCAUUGAAACUGUUAGACUUGAGGAUGAGAGAGGUGAGUGGAAUUCCCGGUGUAGAGGUGAAAUUCGUAGAUAUCGGGAGGAACACCAGUGGCGAAGGCGGCCACCUGGACGAACACUGACGCUGAGACGCGAAAGCGUGGGGAGCAAACAGG
rnacentral:rRNA from 1 species